UUUGUGCGGUGCUGUCAACUUCGCAAAAACUUGGCCUUCAAUUCAGUCGCGAUUUGUGUGUGCAAAUCGUGAAAAUAAAUCGAAAAACGACCAGCCAAUGAUGGAUUCGCGUGCAAAACUGUGCACGGCCAGUAAAUCUAAGAUCAGCGGAUUUAAACUGGCAUUUGGCUUAGCUGACGGUGAGCUCUUCAAAACAACAACAUCGUCGGCGUGCGCACAGCUGCUUUCGUUGCUUCUUCCAAGCAUAUAUCAUCGAUAAUCUUGAAACAGACCCGGACGGUGAAUUCGGUGGGUUUAUGACCAAGAUGGUUUGUCAAAUUCAGCCGGUACGACCAUUGUACAAAGUGGUUACUUGAAGUGGAGGAUUCUGCAGACGCACCCCUUCAUUACAACAGUUAUUUCGACGGCGUACGCACAGCCAAUUUCGAUGAACCCUGGGACCGACGAUUCUUGGACGACGGGCUUCUUGGACGACGGGACGACGGGCUUCUUGGACGACGGGACGACGGGCUUCUUGGACGACGGGCUCCGACGCAACGGUGAAUUAGCGACCAAUGUCCAUCAGAAGUCCUAGCUGCUAGCUAAGACUUGCAGACGGUACGACCAAGGCGUGCACUGUGAAAUGGAUCCGUGCUUAAACUGAAGCAUGGCUUAACUGAUCCAGAACUGGCUGUUGGCCUUCGUUUUAUGCUGCUCAGGAUGAUACCAGUGGAAGUCAUCGAACAGAUCGUGAAAACAGAGAAGACAGUUCCGAUUUCCUGGUGGAGAAGGAACUCUCCCAAAAUAAUCUUGUCUGAUACGCUAGAGAUCUCGG